CCCUGGGUUAUAACAAGAUGCAGAAAACACCCAUUAAAACACAUUGAAAGCGGCAUUCGCAUUUCUGGCUUCCACACUUUGCAACUUCACAUCUGCAGUGUAUUUGUGAUGAGGUGAAGAGUGCUUGUGAUUUACCAGACUCCCCAUCAAUUCUGUCACAGGUAAGAAUCGCCCAGGAGAACAUUUGCAUAUGGAGCAGGCACCAGAUAGAUUUCCAUUUACAUAGGAAAAGCUCAGAUUCUCCAUUAGAGAAAGUUACAGAGGAGAGGCUAAGAGCAUUUGACAUUGUCUCUCUGUUGACUAGCUUUCCUAGGGCAGCACUGCCCAAGGGCUGCUGGCAUAAAGGACUGUCAGCUACUGUGCACAAGGUGACUCAGUCACAGUUGCUGCUGAGUACCUGCAGCGUGGUCAGUGAGGCUGAGAAAUGGACUUUUCAUUUUGUAUCCUUCUAGCUUAUUAUAUGUACGUAGAGGCAUGUGGCUGCUACAGUAAGAGACCAUUUCUAGAGUCUCCCUAAGAAAGGGGAAGGCUGGGGUGGUGAGGAAAUGAACAGGUGGAAAUGAACAUGGUGGCUUGACUCUCUAUCCCUCCCAGCUGUACUGUACUCACUGCAGGCUGAGUCAUAUGGCUAACAGAGUAAAGUCUCUUUCCUAGGAAAAGUGAGGAGAUGCAGCAACCAGAUGCAUCUAUAAAGUUGUAGGUAGCUACAUGACCUUAUGACAUGCUUUGGAUGUAAAACGCUUGUGUUCUUGGGACAGACUCCCAGGAGGGAGUCCUAGUGGACAAGCUCGUGGAAGGCCUCUUUGAUAACUGCAUUUCCUCAGCCCUGAGGGAAGGGUGUGUUAGAGAUGGUUUCCUCCCAACAUGCCUUUCUUCCACAUUAGUAAGAGAACCCAGAGUUUAGCAGAAUGUUUUGCCGAUGGUUUAAAGCAUGAAGCUUCCCAGUGUCCUCUGCAGUUAGGUGCAGCUGUGCUGGGCAGUGUACUAACUGGCAGCUGAAGAACCGUGUCCGGAGUCUGAGCAAUGUGCUUUCCCUCUCUCCCCUCUGCUAGUUUGAACAUGGACAUGAUAAACAGGAAGGUGUGAGCAGAGGCACCACCCUUAGAACAGCAGGAAACAAGGAGCCUGGGUUACUUCUGAGUUCUAGGGAGUUGCCAGACUUGUCCUGUGAUCGGAUUUGCUUUAUGAGAUGGCGUAUGCUACUGAAGUGGCUUUCAUUUAACUCGUGUGUGAGUGCUUACAACAAUAAGCAGUAGACUCAGUGGUAAACUUGGAUUUGGAUGCCUUGAGUGACAGAGGAGAGAGCUAAGAAGGGCUUCAGCAUACAGGGAGCCCCCAUGCACAGGGUGCAGUGCACAUACAGGAAGCACCCAUGCACAGGGUGCAGUGCACAUACAGGAAGCACCCAUGCACAGGGUGCAGUGCACAUACAGGAAGCACCCAUGCACAGGGUGCAGUGCACAUACAGGAAGCACCCAUGCACAGGGUGCAGUGCACACACAGGAAGCACCCAUGCACAGGGUGCAGUGCACAUACAUACAGGAAGCACCCAUGCACAGGGUGCAGUGCACAUACAGGAAGCACCCAUGCACAGGGUGCAGUGCACAUACAGGAAGCACCCAUGCACAGGGUGCAGUGCACAUACAGGGAGCACCCAUGCACAGGGUGCAGUGCACACACAGGGAGCACCCAUGCACAGGGUGCAGUGCACACACAGGGAGCACCCAUGCACAGGGUGCAGUGCACACACAGGGAGCACCCAUGCACAGGGUGCAGUGCACAUACAGGGAGCACCCAUGCACAGGGUGCAGUGCACAUACAGGGAGCACCCAUGCACAGGGUGCAGUGCACAUACAGGAAGCACCCAUGCACAGGGUGCAGUGCACAUACAGGGAGCACCCAUGCACAGGGUGCAGUGCACACACAGGAAGCACCAAUUCACAGGGUGCAGUGCACACACAGGAAGCACCCAUGCACAGGGUGCAGUGCACAUACAUACAGGAAGCACCCAUGCACAGGGUGCAGUGCACAUACAGGAAGCACCCAUGCACAGGGUGCAGUGCAGAGGAUGCUUACAGCAGUGUAUAUGCAGGCUGGGGUAUGAUGGGGAGGAAGGCUAAUGCAGGAGGGAAAUGUGACCAUCCCAGAGGUCCAGCUCUUGCAAAGCACAUGAAUCCUGUCCAGACAAGUAUGUGGCACAUGAUAGGUGCUCAGGAAACACAUCAUGAAUGGGCAAUAUCUUAUAUAAAUGUUCCAGGCUGAAGACAUCCAUUCUGAUUUUUCAUUUUAAAUUACUUUCUCCUAAGUAAAUAGCUGGUUUCUACCUACUUGUUUUGGAACACACAUCUAAGAAUUUUUGGAAGUCUUGAGUCAUACUUAAAGUUGCUUUGUGAAAAGAGGUUUCACUGGGCCCUGGCUGGCUUUGAACUCAUUUGAUCCUCCUGUCCCAGCAUCCCAAGGGCUGUGGUUCCAGGCAUGCACCAUUAUGCUAGGUAAGUCUCAUUUGUAUCUUUAGCAACAGACACAUAAACAUCUCACGGGGAAUGCUGUUUCCUAACGGUAUUCAAUUAACCUUGCAAUUACUAAACACAAUUAGGAUCAGAGAAAUAAUAUUUUCCCUUUUUAGCAGGGAACUUGGCUGGCUGUCCCUACAGCCAUUCAUAAAGACGACAGCACUUUGUUUGCUGAUUUGCUGGGACUAGUUUUAUUCAUCUGAUCAAGUCUCACAAUGGAGAAAGAUGGAGGAAGCCCAAGUUAAAAACUGAAUUUGACUCACUGCCCAGCUUUUAAAUGUGGCAGCUCACCACACACUCCCACUGGGGGAGUUCCUGCCAACGGAAGUGACAGGGAAGGGCUGGCUAAUUAUGAUUGCCUCACCUGACAGAAGCUGCUACCCAUGUCCUCUUGGGAGCUCCAGCCUUACCCAUGGCAGAGCUGGCAACACUGCAUCCUAGGUAGGUAGGUUCUGCUACCCAGUGGUGUGGCCUUGGCAUACGAAGCUCUUGGCAUAAGUGUUUGUUACUUAUCUGCCAAACAGUCCUUGGCAGGAUUAGGAGGGACAAUGUGUAUAACCUAGCAGCGUACCAUGAAUACAGCAACAACUCUUUCAGUAAGCUACUGUUGUUUUUUUCCGUCUUGUUUAUAGGUUAGUAGUGUUACUUUUGAAACUACUACUGUCACAAGAGGCCCUGGAACAACAUAUGUAAAUCAUUUUCCAAAACAAGUCUACGUGUGAGUACGUCAUGAUCACAAAGGAAAGGGGCAGCACCCAGAAGCAUGCUUGCAGAGAUAAUCAAUGAUGUUCACACACUUCCACAGGCUUUGACAUUUCCUUGAAUUUCUGAAAGGAUAAACAUGCUAAAUCUCUCAUCUGGGUGAAGACCUGGCUCAUUUGUUUCUGGAGGUGACACUGCAAGUCUUCCUGCAGUGCUUCCCUGCCAUAUGAGAACACUGCACACUGAAGUGAGACCCAGACUGGGGCUGGUGCCUGUCUACUGACCAGGUUCAAACCAGACCACAUGUCACUCGUGGUGUCAAAUUUCAUGACCUGCCUCCUUGUUCCUUUCUCCUCCUCAUCCCCAGAAAAAGGAAUGUUUUCAGUACCUUCCUAACAGUAAACAAAUCUGAGUCUGUUGUUAGAGAUCACGGAUCUGUUGGAGAUUGUCAAGAGGCUGUGGCUGUAUUUAAUUCAGAAGAUCUACUUCUACUGUUACAUUGCUUUGAAGAGGAAAACUAUACAGCAUAUUAAGUUCUGAAUCCAGAUAGUCGUCAAAACCCACAUUUUGAAGCUUUGCUCUCUCACAGAUGUAAGAUCAUAAUGCAUUCAUCUACUGAGAAUUACAACUAAGACCUCCAGGAUUUGCUUCUGUAAGAGAAGGCAACAGGGCUGCAUCCAUCCCAACCCUCAAGUUACACGUCUGCAGGUCGUGCUGACAGGGAGAACCAAAGACAGACAUGGAAUAGAACCGUGGCCAAAGUAAUUUGUAAAGAAUGUGACAAGAGCAGGAUGAUUUCAAGGUUCCUGAGUAGACUUCAAGGGACCUUGUGGCUUUCAGUUUUGUCUUCCCAAACACACUGAUACUAUGCAAUGAAUGAAGCCUAAGGGAGGUGUGUGUGUGUGUGUGUGUGUGUAUGAGAGAGAGAGAGAUAGAUCCCUAACCUUCAGCCAGCAUAAAUACUGCAGUCCAUUGAAUAAGCCUUUAUUACAGUCUCUAGUCCAGUAAAGCUACGUUAAUGACCAGAGAGAGCAUCAAAAAAUAUUCAGCUGGGCUUAACUAAGUUGCUGACCCAAACUGGUAGAAAACUUAGUUCACUAUGGUGAGCUGCUGUGUGUGUUUUGGAGUGACAGGUCAUACUGUAAUAAACAAAGAGAACAUCCAGUUAUUAAUAGCAGUAAGAAGCACAGCUCAGCAGGAACAGGCGUGGCAUAGUUGGCAGUCAGAGAAAUCCCAGCCCUCAGCAGGGUUGGUCCUUCUUUUUCAGCUUUGCAAGCAACAAGUGACUCGGACACCAAUUACCUGUUUUGUUAUGUGGUACAAACCGAACUGGCCCUCUCUUAAGGCUUUCUUUGCACUGUAAUCCACCAGGCUAUUUAAGUGUAACUUCUGGACAUACUUGUUGGAAUAGCCCUGGCCCAGCAAACAAUACUCUGAGAGGGUUCCUCCCUGCCUCACAAUCCUCCAGUGCCACUUACCUCAUGAUUUGAAGAGAAGAAAAAUAAAAACACUUGACAUAUUGGAACGUGUUAUUUAGAAGUUACCCUUAGAGGGAACUUUGGAGAAUUUUUGUCAUCAGAUAAAGACAUAACAAGGGAUAGAAAACCAACCCAAAUCAUUAAUAAAUAUUAACGAUCGUGUGUGUAUAGUUGGUAUCAAAAAAAUCAGGAAAGCAAACAAUUUACAAUAAUUGCAUAAGUGAUUUAAAGUGUUCAGGGAAGAGAGAGAGAGAGAGAGAGAGAGAGAGAGAGAGAGAGAGAAAGACAGAGAGAGAGAGAAAACGCGCAUUCCUUCAAAAACUCCCUUUGCUUGUUUGCCAGACAUGAGCUGGGCAGGGGCACAGACAGACCUGAGCUCAUGGUCCUCAUUGUGAGCUGGUGGACGAAGCUCCAUUAAAUAUUACGCAUGAAAAAGAAGUUAUUCAAGACAUGUUCCUUUUAAUGUAAAGAUGGAGUCUGGAGAAAAGGACACAGGCAGGAAAGAAAGGACAGGAACAAACAGCGGACGAGGCAGUCCUGCCCACAGCAGAGGAUGAAGAGGACAGACACUUCUCUGCUGGUGACCUCAACAGGAGCAUGGGAGAAGAGAACCAUGGUGAAGGUGUUACCCUACUCACAUAGAAGGGAAAACGUUAGAACAGACUGUGGCAAAAUUGCUUUCAGACAGCAGAAUCCAAGGAACAGGCAUCAGUCAAAAUAAAGCGUACUAUUCUGCAUUUCUAAAAAGCAGAAUGCACUGCAAAGGAUAUGCUACUGAAUCUAAGUGCAAAUGCAGCACAGGCCGAGAGCAAGGAGACCUAGCCAACUGCACCAAGGCAAGGGCAGAAUGGGCCAAUCCUCACCUGCGCAGGACUGCUCUGGAGGGGUCAUGCGCAGGCCACGCAUGCGCAGGCCAUGCUGUUACAGGUCAGCAGCAGCCGCACAGAUGAAAACAGCAUCAGAAGCAGGACAGCAGCUGUGAGCACAUGCUUACAGGCAAACAGCAACUCCAGUAACAGUGACAGGGAACAUGGAGGCCGCCUUUGAGUAUUUUAAUAAUAAAAUCACUAAUGGAAGAGAGGGUCGUCUAAGUCCGAGCUGUGUAGAAACGAGCAGAGCAGUUAUGGAAUCACACACCCCAUCUGUGUGCGGUCCGACUCCUGAGUGGGCAGUGUGGUCACUAUGGGUAGCAGUUCUGUCUAGGUCACUGCGCGGCUUAUUUGAAACAGGGUGCCUCUGGGGACAGGCUCAUGGGAACAAAUGUGUCUUUGAGAAGGAAUGAGUGAGUUCUCCUCGCCUUUUUAGCUAUAAUCUCAAAACCAAUGAUCUUUUUAAGGCUAACUUAAACUUAAUGCAGUACAGAUAUGCUGUGACUGACCUCGACUCUUAUGCAGAUAAGCCACUGGCUUUAUUUUCUGAGUGCUUCUGUGAUCCAUCAUGUUAGCUAUGCAACAAAGCAAGUAUUAACAAAUCAUGAAAUUGUUGUCUAAUAGCACACCAGGCACCUGGAAGAGUAUGUAAAGGUUUUCCUUAAAUUCUGGGCCAUAUUUAUGAAAUGAUGUAAAAAAAUAAAUAUUAAGCAGCAUUAACAUUUUAAAGAAGUAAAUGUUCACUGUUUAAUAUAAAAUUAAAUCAUAUGCACAAAAUAACUUUAUUCUUCCUGCUGAUAGUAAAAGAGUAGAUUCUUAUUUUUAUUCCAAUAUUCAAUUUUUUUUCUCUCUACAACUUAUCUUCCAAAAUAAAACAAAGAAUUCCACCUACAAUGAACUAGUAAUAACUCAGGAAGAUGAAUAAUGCCUUUGUUUUUUCAUGAAAAUGAAAGCCUUCCUACUUCUAAGGAACAGUGACAAAGAAAGUCCCCAAACACACUUGCUAAAGAGCGAGGAGCAAGUAUUGGGUGCAAUAGAUGUCAGCAGUGCUGAAGAGUAUUGGGUCGUAAUCCAACAGUGGAUUUAGUUCAGUGUGGUUAUGAUUGCAGCAGACUGAUGUACCACCUCCCUAUGUGUACCUGCUAUUUCCUAGCCCUCUAUUAUGAUGGUAUUAGGAUGGCAGCCUGAGAGACAGGAUUGGGUAUGAAUGUGGAACCCUCUUGAAUAGAUUAGUGCCCUUACAGCAAUAGGGGAGGUAGCUCUGUCCUCUCUCUGCUCUGUACCUGAGAAGAUGGCUGCCUGCAAAAAGGGAAGCAGGCCCUUCCAGGGAACAGAUGUGCUGGGCACCUUGAUCCUAGAACACUUAUCCUCUGAAUGUAAGAAACACAUUUCUCUGGUUUGUAAGCCACCCACAUUGGUGAUUCCUCAUUUCCUGGCAGUCUAAUGUAGGUCAGUGAUUAGAAAAACAAUUCUGAAAGAAGUCAUAAAAUGAAGCCAGAAGACAUGAAAAGGGGACAGGACAUAUAGGAGAAGAGGGUGGAAGGGUUAUGAGAAGGCUGGGGUGUCAUUCAGAGAGAGUGGGGGGGACAAUAGCCAGAAUGUAUUACGUACACAUAUAUUACUGUCAAAGAACAAAUUUAAUAAAAGCUUAAAGAUAACUUGUGUAAACGAUAUAGUAGUCGAGGGCAGAAUUCUCACCUAUAGGGAGUCCUAGGUUCUUAGCAAAGGGACAUGACAAAGUAGGGUAAGAUCACCAACCCGGCAAAAUUCCCUGGCUCCUAACACACAGAAGAAUGGCAUUCCUUUACAGCAGGGAAGCACAGGUUCCUGCCAGUGAGUGGCUCACCUGUUCAAGGAAAAAUCGGUCUUGCACAAAAGAUAAGGUGAGUCUGCAGAGGACCCAGAAGGGGGUGUGAGUGAAAGGAAAACACUUCCUGCUUGACAAGGACCUCCCUGGCCUUAAUAUUGACAAGUUAACUACAGAAACAGCCUCCAGCUAGCUAUGGUUAGAAAGCUGUAACCCAGCUAACAGUUAACUGCUCAUGAACAAUGGAGCUAGAGGUAGAAUUCAGGCCCAACAGUCUACAGCAUGAGCACUAGGCAAUGGCUCCUAUUACAUACAGUCUUACACAUUUACUUUGCUCCUUAUCUAUGGUGUUUAUGUUUAUGAAUGAUACCCCAAAGUCUCCAGUAGACCCUAAGAGAUAGAAACUGAAAAAGAUUAUGCACAAAAUGCAAGGAUAAAGUAAUGGACCACACUGGGGUUUGCCUUGUUUCCACACAUGAUCUUCAUGAGUUCAAGACCAUCCCUGAAAGAAAAUUCAGGCACUGGAGGCUUAUUGUUAUUAAUAGUUUAAUUUCUGUCUAUCCAGAAAAAUUCUCAGUGCUUUUGUAGUUAUACAACUGGUCUGCUCACAAAGGUUUCCCUCUGCUCUACUCUAUGACCCAGAGAGGUGACAUUCUGGCCACAGAGACAUGUUCAGAGGAGUGCAGCGUGGUUCAAGAGCUACCACCCUUUGUCUACCCUGGCAUUUAAACUUGAGAAGAGAUGAUGUUAGAGGCAUAAGCUAGGAAACCACAGAGAAAGCAGGAAGGGCAGCUUGAGCCAGGAUUUUGUUGAAUUUCCUACAUAGAAGCAAGAUUUAACAGCUCUGGUUGUGAACAGCUGAGCCAGAGAUGGAAUUCUGUACAGCGGUUGGUGUCGUGCACAGCAAAUUGUGACUGGGCAUUUCUAGAAAAGCUCUCCUGCUUUGAAACAUUUAUAGAGAAUGUUUGAAAUUAUUAUGCAUAUGGUAUUCCUUUCACAGACGUUACUCAGAUCCCAAAAUAGAAAGGAGGGAAAAGUAGUUCAAACCAGUUGUGCUGCUACCCAGUAGGCUCAGGAGUCCCCUCUCUUCAUUUGACUCUUCUCCGUUUCUUCCCAUGGGGUUUGCAGACAGCAACAUGACACCUGGAAUCCGAAUGCUUGAGAGGCACUUUACAGUUCCACAGCAAGCUUUUAAUGUCAGGGAAAGAAAUCUACACAGGGCACCUUCCUUCCAGUACCUUACAUGUGAAGGCAGUGAGCAUAGCUCCCAUCCCAGCCAAUCACUAGUGUUUGGUUGAGACAGAGACAUGCCAUUCCGUCAUUUCUCCCCUCUCAAGCAUGUGACUUCAAAGCUCAAGCUAGAACAAAGGGAGGAACUCGGUCUUCUGUCACAUUAAUAACCACUAUGAGAAAAUGAAAAGCAGGUGACAUAGAAGAAGCCAAUGGACUGUUAAAGUGUGGAUGGUCUGCUCUGUGGAUUCUGUGCCAUGUACUUUUGUGCAGAGCCAGGAUGAAGGGACUGGGAGAAGAGCAAAGCCUGGGUAACUCCUGCUCUCCAGCCCAUGACUCUCAUUCAUCAUUUUGACCUUCAAAUGCCACUGAAGUUUGUACCUACAAAAAGUGUGACUUUCAGCAGCUCCCAUCUCAGCCAUUGUCUUGGUUAGGGUUUUGCUGCUGUGAGCAGACACCAUGACCAAGGUAACUCUUGUAAGGACAACAUUUAAUUGGAGGUGGCUUACAAGUUCAGAGGUUCAGUCCAUUAUCAUCAAGGCAGGAGCAUGGCAGCAUCCAGGCAGGCAUGGUGCAGGAGAAGCUGAGAGUUCUACAUCUUUAUCUGAAGGUUGCUAGCAGAAUACUGACUUCCAGGCAGGUAGGAUGAUGGUCUUAAAGCCGACACCCACAGUGACACACCUACUCCAACAGGGCCACACCUUCUAAUAGUGCCACUCGCUGGGCUAUAACAUAUACAAACCAUCACAGCCAUAAUCCUUGCAUUGCAUUUUGGGAAAGAGGAUUCUAUUAACACCUUUUAGAAUCUGUCUAGUGUUGACUAUGCCAUCAGUUACACCUCCACUUCUCCAAAGUUACCAUCCUAUAGCUUUAAGAAGUCAACUGCACUUUUUCCUUGAUAUACUGUCUCCCUCAUAAAACGUUCCUCUCUUUAAAGCCUGUGCCUUGAGAAUGACCAUCAGUGUUCUCAUCCAUCCACUCAGUCACUCGAUAAGCAGGGUGAUCUCUGUAAGUCCCCAGGAGUGUUUACUGCAGGGUUUGAUGCACGUGGUUACAAUGUAAGGAAGGGUUGGUAUAGAGUCAGAGAAGAAGCACACAACUGUCCUGGCAGCAGGAGCACAUGAAGAUUACUCUCGAAGCCUAGCUUGGCGCUCAUCCCUGUAGUUCUAACACUAGGGGCUGAGGCGAGAUGCCUGCCACGAGUGUGGAGCCAUGCUGAGCUGUACAGCAGGUUCCAGGUCAGCCUGCGUUACAGUGUGCGACCUUGUCUCAGACACACAGACACCCCAACAGCAAACAAGCCAGGAAGCAGGGAGUGAGCUGGACCUCUUGAAGGAAGAAUACAAUUUAAAAUACUACUUAAAAGGUUGAAAUAGGCUGAAAAUGAUUCAAGAAAUUUUUUCCCCCUCUCACAGAAGUACCACGUCUACUGUGAAAAAACUUGUAAAUAUAAAAACAGGGCAGAAAGAGAGGACAGAGGGCCACUACCAUGUAACUAACUAGAGAUCACAGCCAUUAACAGCAUGAUGGAUAUGCCUGAGUUGUUUUUCCCUAUAGUUCAUUGGUCACAUGUUUUUAAAGCAAGAAUCAGCACUGUCUAGCUGUUUAUCCAGCAGCAAUGUAUUAACUCUCCUUUUCAUAGUAGUUACUUAUCUAAUAGUCAUUUUAAUGACAUUUCUGAGAUUAUUUUAAUAUUAGGACUCAUUUUUAGUGAGUAUACUGGAACUCGUGGACAGAUCCACAUUUAUUACAGGUAGCUUAUUUCAUGGUAGCUUUUAAGAAUGUGAAUAUACCCAAAGGACUCUUUACAGACUCUUUUGUCUAUAGAGGUACUCACACAUGCAUGUUCAUUUACACUCUGUUUACAACAGCAAGGAAGUAAAAUCAGCUUAACGAAAUUGUGGUACACACAUACAAUGACAAUUUAUGUCAGAAUGAAGAAAAGUGAAGUCAUGAAACUUGCCGGAAAUGGAUGGCAGUGGGAGACGUUAUACUAAAUGAAGUAAUCAGAUCGAGAGACAGACACCGUUGGUUCUCUCACAUGCAGAGCUAACUUUUUGGUUUAUAUAUUUAUGGGGGAGUCAGUAUGGGUACAGCUCAUAAAUUAGAAAGGGACCUAAAGAGGUAAACAAGUUUUAAAAUAAGGGAAGAAUAAAAAAAAUAUUACAUAUAUACAUACUACAUAUGUGUGUGUGUGAUUCAUGUGGAAGACAACUGCACACACACAGGAGGAGGGAGGGCAGGGAGUUAGGGAGAGGAGACUAGUUUGGGAGAAUCAACCAAAACAUGAACCAAAACGUGUGCAUAAAAGUGUCACAGAGGAACAUAGAAAAGAGGAGGCAGGAUUUAAACCAGGUGAGAGAUGGGUAGUAGGCUCAGAAUCAUCAGGAGGUGACACGCGUGCAGGUGGACAGUGGAACACACCUCAGACAAAGUGGGUACUCCAUUAUUAAGGGCACCAGUGCAUGCAUACUCAAGCUGCGUGUGGGGACAGUUGGAUGCUAGCUGUUUUCAGAGACAAGGUAUUUAGUUCUGGGGAAAUUACGAACAGAGCCGAGACUGAGAGAAUACCAACAUGCAAGAAUGCAGGAAAGUGGAAGAUGAACAGAGGCUAAAAUUUAAGCAGCCUAGACAUUUCCAAUGAGUUAUUCUUCUUGUCAACAUUUCUGUUUUCUAGUCUGUCUCAGACUCUCCCAUGUCUUUCCAUAAAGUACAGAUUACGUUCCCAGAGAACUUGCCUCUCCCUUUGCCCACUUCCCUUCAUCUAGCUGAACCUACUCGCUCUCCAACACCCGAUGCAUACUUCGUCACGGUUGGCAGCUCUCCCUAUGGUGUUAGCACGGCACACUGCAGCAUUCUCUGAGUAGGAAGCACAGAUUUUAAAAAACUGUCCUAAUAUGUCAUCAACCUUUCAUGUGUACAAUGUCAAGGCUAAGCACAUGCUACAUAGUUGUUCUUAAUUCAUGCUUCAUGAAUAAGUGCAUGAGUUCCCAAGUUCCCAAAUGCCACCCCAACCAGGAAGUAAAGGGAAACCAACCUUACACUGGAAAAAUUCUGGGUAGGCAAACUGAAACCCACAAGUUUAGAAAUAAGGGAAUUUCACAGAAACCAAGAGUCACUAAGGAAAAUAAAUCAAUUAUUUCUAGAAGCCCCGUCUCACAGUGUAAAAUCUAUAAAAGCACUGGGGCCCAGGAGCGGGCUCGUUAGGGAGUUGAGAUGCGCAAUAUCAGAUAAAGAGUAUCAGAACUGCCCAUGAUCAAAUAAAACCAGGAGCAUUGUCUACUUCAGCAGGAGAUUCCAGAGACAAGACAAAUGGUUUGCAAAAUUAUAGUCAGGCAUGACAGACAGAUCAAGGGGAACAGAAUUUAAAACAAUGGAAACCUUAUAGCUUUCCCCCAUUGCUGAUCACAGCAGUAAAUCCCAUUUUAAAGUGUUUUCAUAGAAAUAGUUACUGAGAAAAUCUAUGUAACACGGAACUGCCAGCAGAUAUAAAAACUUAACAGAACAUCUCAGAUGAUAAUGGGGACCUAAUUUAAUCUAAUUGUGCAUCUAUCUUCAAUUGAUUGGAAAACAGGAGGUCUACCACACUGACUGGCUCAUGCUGGAGCCAGGGUCUAGACCAAGAAUCCUCCAUUGUCACAUAACCAGUGUGCAUUUACACAGCUCAGUAGUCCUACAGGGGGGAAAUCAUGGGCUGUGUCUCAGUUUAGUGUAAUGUACUUACCUAAUGUAUGUUCUAUGUUAUCUUUCCCAUCAUCAGCUAAACAGAGAGGUCUUGCCUGAGCCCAGAGCCCCACCCCCUACCCCACCUACUGUAGUCCGACUUUGCCUCUGUCAUUGCACAGUGGCUCUUGCCUCCUGUUAACACAUUCCUGGCCUUCAGGCAGCACUGGGCUCUGCUGUUCAGAGUCUGGGAAGUCCUUUCUUCAGCUUCUGAGGCAUUAGCCGCACUUUGGCGAUGCACUUUUGGCCUCUUUUGCCCCAAAAUUUCCUUCCUUGAAAUUUGGUCAUGUUCUUUUCUUCUGACUGUAGGGUCUUCCUGUGUGAUCUUGUUCACCAGUGGCUCGGAUCCUCAUAAGGUUGUAACCCCUUAAUACAGGUCCUCAUGCUGUGGUGACCCCCAACCCCUGUGUCCCCACAACCAAACCAUAAUUUUACUCUUGUUGCUACAUCAUAACUGUGAUUUUGCUACUGUUAUGAAUUGUAAUAUAAAUUGGUUUUGGAGAUAGAGGUUUGCCAAAGGGGUUGCGAUUCACAGGUCGAGAACUAUUGCUGUCACCUUUAUGGCUCUGUCACACCAUGCUCAUGGCUCCUGACUCUCUAGCCCAUUCCCCAUGUUUCCUUUAUUCCAGUCCACCUCACUUUGCGCACUGGCUUACUUCUAAAGGGAGAUUCCAUCAGGCUGUGUCUGUAUCUUAGAAAAGAUAUUUUUAAAAUGUGAAUAACUUGGUAAUUUCCAACUAUAAUUAUUGGUUCCAGUUGUCCUUAAAAUCUCAAAUUCCUUAAAAUGUUGCGGAAAUUCUCAUCAUUUGGCUCAGUUUUCAUUUAUUUUAAAUAUAUUACUGUGUUGUAGUGUUCAUGUAUGUGUAUGUAUGUAUGUGCAUGUAUAUAGACAUGCCCAUCAUACACAUGUCAGGGAAGGCAGAGAGUGACUUUCAGGAGUCACUUUGUCUUCGAAUGGGUGGUUUCCAGGAUUGAACUCGAACCACUGGUCCUCUCCAUCUCACUGGUCCACCAUGGAGGGCAAUGACAAGGAUGGUUCUGGUUCCUACUGGAGCCGUCUCAGGAAGCUCCACUCUAGAACAAGGUAUGGUGGAAGCUAUGGUGGCGGCAGCUUGCUGUGAUAGCAAAAGCAACUUUUCUGAGAGGAGAGGAUACAUUUUACCAGUUAAAGCAGACACGGAAUCUGGGUUUGAUUCACAAUAUUACUUAGUUGUGGCCUUCUUGGGCCUCAUUUUCCUUAUCUGUAACAACAAGACAUGGAUGGGGACAACACAAUAACAACCUGCCAUAGGUGAGUGCUAAGUGGGUGAAUUUUGAGCCAUGCUGGCAUAUGGUGACUAUGACCUUAUAGUUUUCCUUCUAUUUAGAAAGGCAUAUUUCAUGUGUGUUUUUGUAAAACCAGAUAUGUUUAAAAAAUUCCAUGAAAUCCUCUCUCACUCCAACUGGAAUACUUUCCUAAGUACACACACCCAGAAAAAUAAAUCACCGGAUAAUAUUAAUGAGCAUAUUGUAGGCAAACUUUUAAUUUAUUUUUAUUAUUAUUUUUGUUUGUGUUUUAUGUCUCUACACAUAGUCUCAACUAUCCAGAAACUUGUUCUAUAGACCAGGCUAGCUUCAAACUCACAGAGAUCUGCCUGCCUUUGCCUCCAAGUACUGGGAUUAAAGAAGUGCACAUCAUGUCUGGCUAGGCAAAUGUUUUAAAUUAAAUCUCAAAUGGAUGCCACAAUUUAUGUUUUUACUACAAAUCUGCUUUACUAUUUCAGGUAAGAAAUUUCACCAACAGUUGGAAGAGAGCUUUAAGUUCAUCUUCAUUUUGACUUACAGCCGCUUGGUAACAUUUAUUAAGUCUAAAGAAGAAAGGAUCUGCCAAUGUACCCAUAAAAAGCUAUGGUCCCUUGUACUUUGGUACUUUUUCUGAUCUACAGUUUGUUAAUCCACUGUUAGCUGUUUUUAAGAUAAAUAUCCUUAAAACUCAAAAUUAGAGAAUGUAAUUUUAAGAACUGUACAAUCUAACAGUUUUACUAGAAUUUUAGAGUGUAAGUUUUACUAGAACAGUGGUAAUGAGGCCCAGUGCACAACACUGCACACAAUGCUGUACACAAUGGGGCACACAACGCUGCAGGCACUGUGCAUCCUUGACCCAGAGCUAACAAAGCUUCAAAAGCCUGAGGGAUGGCUGCGGUAUGAGGCAGAGCAGUAAGUCCAGUGUGCACACCUUCACAGCAAGCACGCAUGCUCCAACGCAGCGCACACUGAAUGACACUGACCUUUUCCUGACAGCAGUGCUAAGUUGAUUCUUGGUAGAAGGCUGUAUGAGCCUUACAUGUGAUAUCUGUGCUUAUUAAUAGCAUGUCUUGACUAACUCUAAUGGGCUGGUCAUGUUGGAAAACUCUAGCCUGUGUUUAUUAACAUUUAAAGGGUGUUCCCUGUGUGUGGGCACGAGGAAUGUGCAAUGCAUUCAUCUCUCCUAUUGACACAACUAAAUGUACUGCAGUAGUUUGAUUUCUGGCUUCUAGUCAAUCAUGGGUCAAGAUUCAGAAAAUCUUCAUAAAUGGUUGUAAACAUGUGUAAUGGACUCCUGGGAACACCAAACACUACUGUUCUGCUAAAGUUAAGUGGCCGUAACAUGACUCCUAACGCCUCUGGUACAGGACAGAUCAGGAUUUUGCUCAGCCACCACUGGAGGAGCUUCCUCCUGCAGUGGUUGAGAACAGACACAGAGCCACAGCUGAACACUGCAGAGAGCGAGAGACUGUGGAACACUUAGUCCUGAAUGGGAUGUCUUCAUCAAAUUCCUUCCUGGAGUAUCAGAGAACCCUAGCAGAAGAGGAGGCAGAAAGAGCAAAAGAAUCAGAGGGGUCAAGGAUAUCAAGGAAACAAGGCCUUCUAACCACAGCAGGGCACACAUGUGAGCUCACACUGACUGCUGCAGCUUGCACAGGGCCUGCAUGGGUGCCAUAUAAGGGUCCAGUGCUGGGAGAAAUGGACACAAGCCAAACCCCUAACUCAGACGCUAGGUCCAACGGAUAACCACUUGCAAAUGAAAAACCAGUUUUCUCCAAUAGAGUUUCAUUGGGGUUACAAAGCACUCUUAAAGGCAGGCCUUGUGCCCAGUAGUAGAUGGCUAACACAAUCAAACUGAAUGGUAUCUUUGGAAGGUAUCGAUCUCAUAACUUUCUUUUUUUAUUAGAUAUUUUCUUUAUUUACAUUUCAAAUGUUAUCCCCUUUCCUGGUUUGAAGUCAAAAUAAAAAGGCCCAGAUCUAAGGGUCUCAGGGAGUGGGUUUUAUGGCACUAAGUUUUAGAGAUCUUUCAUACAUGUUCUCUCUCUCUCUCUCUCUCUCUCUCUCUCUCUCUCUCUCUCUCUCUCUCUCUCUCUCUCUGUGUGUGUGUGUGUGUGUGUGUGUGCAGGCAGGAGCAUGCCACAGCAGGAGUAUGAAAGUGAGAAGACAAACUCAGGUGUCACCAUGCCUCUGAUAUUAUUUGUUGCUGUGCAUGUCUGGGUAGCUGAGCCCUGAGCAUCUUGAGAGUCUUGUCUCUACCUCCCAUCUUGGUGAAGGGACUGGGGGAUUACAGACGCAUGCACAGCUUUCUGUGAGUUCUUGUCUCUAAUCAGGUCUUCAUGCUUCUAAUUGGGUGAUCGCUUUACCCAUGGGGCCAUACCCCCAAGCCCUGAUUUCUUCAUUGUUCUCUAGGGAGCUGUAGGUUACAUUCCAGGCAAAUAAACUGUGUAUAAGUUCUAAAAGCUACGUGCACCCAGCUAUGGCAGAUGUCUCCAGCAUGUGCUUAACCAUGUAUAUGCACUACAUAAAGCCCUGGUAAUACAUAAUGAAAGAUGGGUUGGCAAUGUGAGGAAAGAUUUCCUUUCUUUUUGUAGCACUGGAGACUGACAGCUGUCCUGUACAAGCUAGGCGAGUAUUCUACCACUGAGUUACAGACAACAAAGAAAUGCAUUUGAGUGUCAAAGUUUAAUUGUUUUCUACCUAAUCAAAUUAUUGGUCAAUGGAAAAAUUAUACAUUUAUAUAAGUAUUUAUCUUAAUUUUUAUAUAUUUUCUCUUAUUUUUACUGUAAUGAGUAAUGUUGUGACAGACAUCUGUUCACACACACCUUUUUGCAUGUCUGCUGUUAUCAGUUCCAUAAAAUAGAUUCCUAGAAUGAACACUGUGACAGAGUAGACUGUGUUCUGAGAAUUAUGAUAUUCUUAAACUAUUCCCAAAGAGCUUUGUAGCCUACAUAGCAACUACCGGCAAAUGUUUGUCUGCUUUCCUUCUUGUCUAUACUGAUUUAUGAUAUUCUUCUUAAUUUUUACCAUCUGCAGUUAAAAAAUACCCAUUUUUGUAAAAUUCACAUUUCUUUAAUGACUUUUGGACUUAGCAUGCUUCAAAUAUGCUGUUAUCUGUAUUAAAGUGGAGAAUUUUUCUGAAUGUUUAGAAACUAAACUCUUACUUUACUGAUUUACAUCUCAAUCCUUAUGAAUUAAAGUUGUCAGCAUUUGACAAGCAUAUUGUAUAUUUCUCCAAUAUUUUUUCUGAAUCUAUUCAUGAUAUUAAAAAAAUCUCCAUUUAGUUCCUUCUUUACCACAUUACUGGAUCUCUUGGAGAGCUGCCUCCAGUUUUGUCUUUUCACUUUACAUGUCCUCUGGCUUCUGUCCUGACUCUCAAGCUCUGAGGUAAUGGUGUGUGUGGCAUGGCUGAACCUUCUUGCCCGUGGCAGACCUGCUGUAUGGGGCAGCACUGCAAACUCCAUGGCUCAUUCUGUCAACCCUGCAUCUAUUUCAUGUAGACUUCUACGCCAUUCAAAGCAAUGUGCCAAUAGUGGAAAGGAUUCUGUGGUUCUUAAGAGGCACAGAUAACUGUGUGAUACAUGUGGCACCUAUGAAUCAUAACAACUGCAUAUGUGCUCAAUAUCCAGUGAAAUAUCACAAAUCCAUACUUUAGAGAUUCCGAAAGACAAUGAAAUUUACUGUCUAUAGACAGGAAAGAACAAGCCAGGUAAAACAAUUGUCACUCUCCCAAAAAAAAAAGUGGCUAAAUCUGGCUAUAGUAAUAAAAAUUUAUAGUCAAUAAGAAAAGAUUAGUAGCCAGCAAGAUUAUAGAACUCAGUGACCAAGAGAUGAAAGUGUUUAUUGUCCCUGACGGCAGCUGGACUAGAUCAGAGCACUUCUCAUUGUGCUCCUGAAUGUGAAAGGUCUACACCCAGCUCUUAAUCUCAUUUCUAAGAAACAUCUGGAAACCAGUAAAAGAUACUGAAAAUAAAAUGUAUCUUGCUGUAAAAACCA